GACGAACGCUGGCGGCGUGCUUAACACAUGCAAGUCGAACGGAAAGGCCCUGCUUUUGUGGGGUGCUCGAGUGGCGAACGGGUGAGUAACACGUGAGUAACCUGCCCUUGACUUUGGGAUAACUUCAGGAAACUGGGGCUAAUACCGGAUAGGAGCUCCUGCUGCAUGGUGGGGGUUGGAAAGUUUCGGCGGUUGGGGAUGGACUCGCGGCUUAUCAGCUUGUUGGUGGGGUAGUGGCUUACCAAGGCUUUGACGGGUAGCCGGCCUGAGAGGGUGACCGGCCACAUUGGGACUGAGAUACGGCCCAGACUCCUACGGGAGGCAGCAGUGGGGAAUAUUGCACAAUGGGCGGAAGCCUGAUGCAGCAACGCCGCGUGCGGGAUGACGGCCUUCGGGUUGUAAACCGCUUUCGCCUGUGACGAAGCGUGAGUGACGGUAAUGGGUAAAGAAGCACCGGCUAACUACGUGCCAGCAGCCGCGGUGAUACGUAGGGUGCGAGCGUUGUCCGGAUUUAUUGGGCGUAAAGGGCUCGUAGGUGGUUGAUCGCGUCGGAAGUGUAAUCUUGGGGCUUAACCCUGAGCGUGCUUUCGAUACGGGUUGACUUGAGGAAGGUAGGGGAGAAUGGAAUUCCUGGUGGAGCGGUGGAAUGCGCAGAUAUCAGGAGGAACACCAGUGGCGAAGGCGGUUCUCUGGGCCUUUCCUGACGCUGAGGAGCGAAAGCGUGGGGAGCGAACAGGCUUAGAUACCCUGGUAGUCCACGCUGUAAACGGUGGGUACUAGGUGUGGGGUCCAUUCCACGGGUUCCGUGCCGUAGCUAACGCUUUAAGUACCCCGCCUGGGGAGUACGGCCGCAAGGCUAAAACUCAAAGGAAUUGACGGGGCCCCGCACAAGCGGCGGAGCAUGCGGAUUAAUUCGAUGCAACGCGUAGAACCUUACCUGGGUUUGACAUGGAUCGGGAGUGCUCAGAGAUGGGUGUGCCUCUUUUGGGGUCGGUUCACAGGUGGUGCAUGGCUGUCGUCAGCUCGUGUCGUGAGAUGUUGGGUUAAGCCCCGCAACGAGCGCAACCCUUGUUCACUGUUGCCAGCACGUUAUGGUGGGGACUCAGUGGAGACCGCCGGGGUCAACUCGGAGGAAGGUGGGGAUGACGUCAAGUCAUCAUGCCCCUUAUGUCCAGGGCUUCACGCAUGCUACAAUGGCUGGUACAGAGAGUGGCGAGCCUGUGAGGGUGAGCGAAUCUCGGAAAGCCGGUCUCAGUUCGGAUUGGGGUCUGCAACUCGACCUCAUGAAGUCGGAGUCGCUAGCAAUCGCAGAUCAGCAACGCUGCGGUGAAUACGUUCCCGGG
rnacentral:rRNA from 1 species